GGUCUGAGAGGAUGACCAGCCACACUGGAACUGAGACACGGUCCAGACUCCUACGGGAGGCAGCAGUGGGGAAUAUUGCACCAUGGGCGCAACCCUGAUGCAGCCAUGCCGCGUGUAUGAAGAAGGCCUUCGGGUUGUAAAGUACUUUCAGCGAGGAGGAAGGCAUUAAGGUUAAUAACCUUAGCGAUUGACGUUACUCGCAGAAGAAGCACCGGCUAACUCCGUGCCAGCAGCCGCGGUAAUACGGAGGGUGCAAGCGUUAAUCGGAAUUACUGGGCGUAAAGCGCACGCAGGCGGUUUGUUAAGUCGGAUGUGAAAUCCCCGGGCUCAACCUGGGAACUGCAUUCGAAACUG
rnacentral:rRNA from 1 species